GUAGGUGAACCUGCGGAAGGAUCAUUAAUAGAGCAAUGGAUAGACAGCGCCCCGGGAGAAAUCCUGGGGGCCACCCGACUUCGGUUGGGUUUAGAGUCGUCAGGCCUCUCGGAGAAGCCUGGUCCAGACCUCCACCCUUGAAUAAAUUACCUUUGUUGCUUUGGCAGGGCGCCUCGCGCCAGCGGCUUCGGCUGUUGAGUACCUGCCAGAGGACCACAACUCUUGUUUUUAGUGAUGUCUGAGUACUAUAUAAUAGUUAAAACUUUCAACAACGGAUCUCUUGGUUCUG
rnacentral:misc_RNA from 1 species